UACUGUUACUUGCUGGUAGUCCCCGUGGCAUUACCAUUUCACCAACUUUCCUCUCAUGGGGGAUAACAACACGUCUCACCACCUUCCGGGUGAUCUGUGGGAAGCAAUACACGGAAAGUAUCGAUUUUUAUUUUUUUCCUGGAUUCUAAAGGGAAAAAGUAUGUUAAAAGAAGUUACUUGAAAGCAAAGACUCAGAGCAGUGAUGUAAUUCAUGAUUACUUUUCUCGUGAUGACGUUGCCUUCUUCAUCGGUAAACUGUUCCUCUGUUACAGAUUCACCAGGAAUGUUUUUUGCUUCCUCACCCUAAAGAAUGUGUUAUAAGAUUAGCAAUAGAGCCUAUAUUCUGUCAAACCCACACAAAUUUCCACACCAAUCCAAGCAACAAGCACAUGCUAGCUUCAACUUUAUGUAACAGUUUGCUUUAUGCCACACCAACUGUUGGAAAGCCUCGUUCAUUUAGCAAUGCAAUACCUGUGCAUUUGUCCUACGAGAUGUUUCCUUAAAGCCUGUAGAGAGCUCCUAGCACGCUAUUUAUUAACUAAUUAACACACACUCUUAUUAACUAAUGCAUGUCAGGAACUCUCUGGGCAACAAAACUGAGUGGUCAGUCUGAGCCCUAUGAGACACCCCUUAGCUUUUCACAGCUUCUCAGUGAAACUCAGCAGCGUUUCUGCUUUGGCACACACAGAAACACGGCCUAACAAGGGGGAAAUUUGGGACUUAGAAAGACAGCUCUGCCUAUAGCUUGCUAAACACGAGGUCUUAAACACAAACACAGAAGACAGACAGGACUUCUCAGCACUUACACGAUGAAGGAAGUUGUCUUACGUGACACUUUGCCCGGCACGGUGCCACCGUGGCGAGGAGCCUGGGCAGCCCGGUCCAUGACUUACUGAGAUCAGCAGCACUGCAGCCAUCACUUCUUGUAGCACCAGCAAUUUAUAGCACCAGUGUAAAUAAAUGUAAAAGCAGUUUCCUAGCUGCUAUGCCAGCGACUUAAUUCCACUUAAAGGAAUUAUUGCUUAAAUCAUAAAUAAAUGACAUUAGUCUGAGCCCAGCUGGCAGUCAUGAACUUACGUUCCAAAAGAGCUUUGUUAACUUUACCUCACAAAGUCCUAUUUCCAAACCUGGGUGCUUUUGAUGCUUCAAAAAUAUCAAUUUUAUGUGCUUAUAUCUUUCAUAUAAGAGAAGCAAACAUAAUGAUACUGUAGCUGCCCCACAUAUGAAAAAUUUCCACUUGUAAAUCAAUAACCCAAGUAAACAAAAACAAAAAAAAAAACUCCUUAAAACUUUUCUUCUCCCCUCACUCUCAACCCACUAUGGAAAAACUACAAGUAGAGGGAGGAAGCAGAAAGAAAACACUGUAUAAAACACAUUAUAACAAUAUUAACUACACAACACUAUUUGAAAGGAGACUAUUACAGCUUUUGUAAUGCUUCGAUGUACUGAACACCAAGGGCAAAUAUAUUUUCUAUUUACCGUGGUCUAUACACUGCAUAGUUGUCUGCAUAAGCUCCUGGCACUGCUUUAUAAUAAACAAAUACAGUGAUGCCAUGUGUAUUUUUUAAAAACAGUAUUCCCUACUAAACAGCUUUUUCAAGACGUACACUGUAACAUUGGGAUUGUAUGCUAUUUCUAAGCUCUAAGCAAAACAAACCUUUCCUUUUGUUUACAAGCCAUUUGUGGUCUUUUCUAGCCAAGCCUUUCCAUUUUGCUUGCCUGGGGACAACGGCAGUGGGCAGGAGCCGGGGAGAGCACUGCAGAGCAGAGCCCCUGGCCAUGUUUGCCUCUUCACAAGUACAGAAUUUCUGCUGGUUUCGCAUGAAAGCUGUACUCAAGUCACCACUUAAGCAAGGGAAUUCAGAUAUUUUACACAUCUUUUCCCCCAGGCCUUCACAGGCUGUUUAGCAAGCUGUACAACCUGCUGAACUUUGGUGCUUCCAGGAAACACUGCCAAGAGAAGGACAGGCUCCACAGCCAGGUGGGUUCCAGCGCACAGGGACAUAAGGAUGAGGUGCUGUGCCUGAGACACACCUAGCUGAGGUGCCUGGGCCAGGGAAUGCUGGCGUCCCUAAAAAGCACACAACAAACAGCUACUGAAGCCUUCAGAUGGAGCCUGAAAAACUCAUUCCCCAGAAGGAGAAGUGGCACAGGUGCCCAGACAGGGCACCAGGCUCUGUGCAGGAGAAGGAGGGAAGUGUGAGGCUGGUCCCUGGGCGAGCGGGGCCCCAGUGGCAGCCGGCUGCUUCCUUUCUCACCAGAGAGGGAUGGACUGCUGCCAGGCAGGGCCAGCCACUGGGCAAAGGGUUUGGGAACUGAAACCUGCAGGCUUUCCUGCUCACAGAGAGAUGGCAGGGGGAAAGACUGAUUCUGGAGGCUUCACACACUAAUCAGAUGAGAGCAGAUGGGGAACUGAUGCACAGUUUCUUUUCUGGCCUUUCACGUAUGGCUCCAACACAGUACCCCCAGGAGCAGGAGGGAACCCUGGCACAGACAUCUCAUGGAGCACAGAGGAAUGGAAAGGUUCCCUCUCAUGAGUAGGGUCUCAUGAGAGGGAACCACUACAAUAAAACCCAUGAAAA